rnacentral:rRNA from 1 species
UGGGGAAUAUUGGACAAUGGGCGCAAGCCUGAUCCAGCCAUGCCGCGUGAGUGAUGAAGGCCUUAGGGUUGUAAAGCUCUUUUGUCCGGGAAGAUAAUGACUGUACCGGAAGAAUAAGCCCCGGCUAACUUCGUGCCAGCAGCCGCGGUAAUACGAAGGGGGCUAGCGUUGCUCGGAAUCACUGGGCGUAAAGGGCGCGUAGGCGGACUUUUAAGUCGGAGGUGAAAGCCCAGGGCUCAACCCUGGAAUUGCCUUCGAUACUGGGAGUCUUGAGUUCGGAAGAGGUUGGUGGAACUGCGAGUGUAGAGGUGAAAUUCGUAGAUAUUCGCAAGGACACCGGUGGCGAAGGCGGCCAACUGGUCCGAAACUGACGCUGAGGCGCGAAAGCGUGGGGAGCAAACAGG